UACCACAUCCGUUAGGCCCGUUAAGUUGAGUAAGCGCAACUCACUGCAGGAAUGUCUAGAUAUGGUCCACAACCCAUGUUAACAUAGGAAGUUGGUCCUCAACCUUGCACUAUAUUUGCAGAAUCAAUCCCCAACGAGCCAAAGACCAUCAAAAUCUUUGUUAAAUCGUCACAUAAUCCCCAUGCAAACAUGCCUCAUUUCAAAAUUUGGACAUAAGUCUAAGUUGAGAAACAAAACCUUAGCUUCAUAAAGUUGGACAUGCGAGGAUCACAUUAGGAUUUAACAGAGUUUUGAUUGUUUGUGUCUUUAAUGAUUGAUUUCCAAGUAUAAUAAAAGGUUGAUAAUCGACUUACUCUAUAUUAUAAGGUUGGCAAGCAACUUGUUAAUCGCGUAAAAGGUUUUCUAAAGAUCUCUUCUAGAUAUCUAUAAUUUAUCCUAAUGGAGCAAAGGUGAAACAAUUUUUGACCACAUGGGACAGGAGCUAGAGUGAAUGCAUUACAGCAGACUCCAGAAAAAUAAUAAAAUUGAUGAGCCCUCACUAUUUCUUCAUUUUAUUAUUAAAACUAUACUGAGAUUUAUUGGCACAAAUUUGAGGAUCGAGGUGCCUUAAAACUAGGCUUCUCAAGAAUCCUUCAACAUUGACGAACUAAUCUGAUUUAACAGACCACAUGCAGAAGCAGGAAUCACCUAUUACUUUAGGAGCAAAAACGAGAAAAGUUAUUUGAAGGCAACAUUAAUGAACAUAAAAAGACAAUUUAAGAAACAUACGGUUGAACAGCCAUUUCAUAAGACUGAAAUUAUCCUAAAGCCACAGAUCAGGAGCUUCAGCAUUUUGUGCUUCCCUUUACGCUCAAUAAUCUCGAGCAUUCCUAUAACACACCUAAGAUCAUUUUCACUCUUCAUAUGUUAUGGUCAUUUUCGCUCUUCAUAUAGUGGGAAAUUGAAUUCUUUAGGUUUUGGGAAAAUAGUGUACCCCCUAACAUCUGAAGAAAGCAAAAGUCCUCCUACACUAGUAAAUAAUAGUUAGAUUACCAAUGGAGUCUAAUUUUAUUAAUAGAAACCCAAAAAUGGCCACCAGAAGUAUGCAUUAACCAUAUUUUGGCAUUUUUUCUUACAACGACCAGUGUACUGGGCUAGUUAGAAUCUGAACACUGGCUAAUUUAGAACUUGAAUGACAAAUUGAAAGCAAGAAGUGAAACACUUCUCAAUAUUCAACAGGCAGAAAAAGAAAGAGUUGCAAGGAAGCUUUUUAUUUGUUUAAUUUAUUGUAUAAUUACAUAGACAUAAAAGUUGGAUUUUGAUUCUUAUACUAUAUAUAAAAGUAAUGUCUUUUGUUUUUGUUUUCAAAUGUGCUGAAAGGAAAAUUAGUAAUAGUAAUGAGGUUUACAUUAUUAACAAAUUGAGAUACGAGGUGCAUCUACUAAUUAUUUUUGGCCAGUAUCAAGGGUAAUUGCUUUUGAAUCAAACGUAAGGAGUAGCUUCGAUUUUGUGAGACCUCAAGAGAUGUUUGAGCUUUUCAUUCAUCAGACAAUGCUUUGAAGAGCCUCCAUGUGCAUUUUUUUUCUCAAGAGAAAUGGAUUCGAUAAUAAAAUCUCAUUAAAGAAAUCAUCUUAUAGCCAAUUGGCAAUAACACAAGCUCAACUUAUUCAAAAAUCUAAAUCCACAUGUACGAGUAAAGUUCAAAGAAAGAGAUCUAUCUUCCAGCCACACCACCGCAAGUCCAAACCUUUCACAAACAGAUUCCUAUUACUUCAUCUUACUCUUCUUUUUGUUCACUUAUCUACAAUAACUGUUUUUGUCCCAGAGAUAUAUGUUAUGCUGCUACUUCCAGAAACUUGAAUCAUGCAAUUUCUGUUUUAAAAAAAAAAAAAAAA